rnacentral:rRNA from 1 species
UGACUGGGUAUCGCAUGAUGCUUGGUGGAAAGAUUUAUCGGCCUUGGAUGGACUCGCGGCCUAUCAGCUUGUUGGUGAGGUAAUGGCUUACCAAGGCGACGACGGGUAGCCGGCCUGAGAGGGUGACCGGCCACACUGGGACUGAGAUACGGCCCAGACUCCUACGGGAGGCAGCAGUGGGGAAUAUUGCACAAUGGGCGCAAGCCUGAUGCAGCAACGCCGCGUGAGGGAUGACGGCCUUCGGGUUGUAAACCUCUUUUGGUAGGGAAGAAGCUUUCGAGUGACGGUACCUGCAGAAAAAGCACCGGCUAACUACGUGCCAGCAGCCGCGGUAAUACGUAGGGUGCAAGCGUUGUCCGGAAUUAUUGGGCGUAAAGAGCUCGUAGGCGGUUUGUCGCGUCUGCUGUGAAAUCCCGAGGCUCAACCUCGGACGUACAGUGGGUACGGGCAGGCUUGAGUGCGGUAGGGGAGAUUGGAAUUCCUGGUGUAGCGGUGGAAUGCGCAGAUAUCAGGAGGAACACCGAUGGCGAAGGCAGAUCUCUGGGCCGCUACUGACGCUGAGGAGCGAAAGCAUGGGGAGCGAACAGGAUUAGAUACCCUGGUAGUCCAUGCCGUAAACGUUGGGAACUAGAUGUAGGGGCCUUUCCACGGCUUCUGUGUCGACGCUAACGCAUUAAGUUCCCCGCCUGGGGAGUACGGCCGCAAGGCUAAAACUCAAAGGAAUUGACGGGGGCCCGCACAAGCGGCGGAGCAUGCGGAUUAAUUCGAUGCAACGCGAAGAACCUUACCAAGGCUUGACAUAUACGAGAACACUGUAGAGAUACAGGACUCUUUGGACACUCGUAUACAGGUGGUGCAUGGUCGUCGUCAGCUCGUGUCGUGAGAUGUUCGGUUAAGUCCGGCAACGAGCGCAACCCUCGUCCUAUGUUGCCAGCACGUUAUGAUGGGAACUCAUGGGAUACUGCCGUGGUCAACACGGAGGAAGGUGGGGAUGACGUCAAAUCAUCAUGCCCCUUAUGUCUUGGGCUUCACGCAUGCUACAAUGGCCGGCACAAUGGGCAGCGAUACCGUGAGGUGGAGCGAAUCCAAAAAACCGGUCUCAGUUCGGAUUGGGGUCUGCAACUCGACCCCAUGAAGUCGGAGUCGCUAGUAAUCGCAGAUCA